UACGGAGGGAGCAAGCGUUACUCGGAAUUAUUGGGCGUAAAGGGCGCGUAGGCGAUUUGACAAGUCGGUUGUGAAAGCCCAGGGCCUAACCCUGGAAGUGCAACCGAGACUGUUGAAUUUGAGUAUAGGAGAGGAAGGCAGAAUUCCCGGUGUAGCGGUGAAAUGCGUAGAUAUCGGGAGGAAUACCAGCGGCGAAGGCGGCCUUCUGGACUAUAACUGACGCUGAGGCGCGAAAGCUAGGGGAGCAAACGGGAUUAGAUACCCCGGUAGUCCUAGCCGUAAACGAUGUGCACUUGGUGUGAGCCCGUUAGGGUUCGCGCCGUAGUUAACGCGAUAAGUGCACCGCCUGGGGAGUACGGUCGCAAGGCUGAA
rnacentral:rRNA from 1 species